GACUGGUUUAGGUUUUUGCUUGCUUACCUAGGCCGCCAAUGCUUUAGAGACACCUCAGUCUAAUGGCCUCCUUGUUUAAUUACCUUAACAGGAGCUAAAUUUGGAGAUAGGUGGGGUUCUCUCUUGUCUCGCUCCAGCCUCAGCCUUAGACAAGCCCUGCGCAAAGGGUGGAACUUUCUCGGCCGUCCUGCCGCUUCUCCCUGUGGCAGCUGAACUCUGCCUGUAUCUGUUGUUGGUCUUGCCUGAGAAUUUCUUGCCCAAGAGAUUUUACACCUACUUUUUCCAGAAUAAAUGGAUCUUUGUGCACUAGGGGCAAGAGGGUGUUUUAUCUCUCCGCAGGUAGCUCAAGGCUUAACUUGGCAGGAGAGAAGUUUCCGUGAAAGUCGGCAGGUUUUUUCCUGUUCUCCACAGCCGCUGAGGAUCUGCUCCAUACCUGUUUCAUCGAGGGGCAUUCUCUCUGAUUUCCUGCCCUGCCCCCAUCCUUUCCCAUGAGCGCCUGGAGAGGCAAACAAGAGCUCGAGAGAGAAGGAUAAAGUUUAGUAAGCAGCUUCAUUUUGAAUAACAGCGAAACUGAGACCUGCUAGAACAAGGUUCUUCACUUUUCGUUUUUUUCAUGUCUCAGCUUUAAACAAAAUUCUGCAUUGAGGCCUGGAGCACUUAUGCUUCUACGCUGAUAUUACCCGGCAGUCCCUAACGUGGAAUACCCUGAAUGAGCAACUCUGUUCCCCCACCGCACCCCCAUGUUCUGACACUCUUGUGCUCAUCAUCAAGCCCAAAACCUACUGAAGCUAAGGAUGUGUCUCUCCACUUCGCGGUCCCUGUGUAGGUCAAGUCCCUAAGACUGAGCACCACUUUGGAUCCCCCUCCCAAGUGCUAAUUAAUAAUUUUGUCUAAAAUAGUAGUUUUUUUCAAGGGUGUAAGACUUGCCCCUGGGCCCUGGUACAGGGAUUAAAGACCUCCAAGCCAAGAAACAAUCUCCAGGACAAUGACCAUCAGCCUGAUAGGAAUUCCCAAUAACAAAACAGCCUGCUAGAGACCCCCACCAAGCUCUUGUCCCCCUACCUUUUCCCAUUAGGGUCAUCUGUGUCAUGCUGAGUAUCACGUGGGGAUCCCUAUUCCCCAAGAGCUGAGAUUGACGAUGCGUGUGUAAGUAACACAGAGGUAAGUAAGGCACUGAUACCAAACUUAUAAAAACAGUCAAGUGAAGUAAAAUUGGAAUCUAGUUCAUAAUAUAAGAUAAUCUCAUCUCUAAUUGUCUUUGAAUGUAUAGACAAAUUGCAAUAACAAUUUGCAAGGCCGUGAGGGGGCAUUUUAUCACUUUGAGCGUAUUUCCUUUUGAGCAAAAUGAAAAGUUUUACUAGAGGAUAUUUAUGGUUUCCAUUAGGUCUAAUAUUCCUCAAUCAUUUUAAAUAAUUUGAAAACUUACAAAAUAGAUAUAUCACAUGAAGAUUGUUCCCAUUAUUUAAAGACUGUUUAGCAAGGAGUUAAGAGCAGCAUGUUACUGAAAAAAUAAAAAUUUUCGAGUCACAUAAACCUGGGCCAAAUACCAGCCCAAAUAUAGCUCUACUGCCUACUAAUUGUCUGCUUUUUGAUAAGUUAAUAAUUAUCCUGAACUAUAAUUAGUUAAGUUGUAAAUACAGGUAAUAAAGUACUACAGGGUUAUAAAGAUUAAAUGAAACCUCCUUUCUAGGUUCAUCUUACACAAUACUUGGUGCCAAGAAGCCACAAAUAUAUUUUAGGCCUACUGCUUGUCUCUUUUUUCCUCACCAUUUAUGAAAGUAAUCACUAGAACAUUCUUUUGAAUUUCUUUUUUUUAAUUUAUCAGUCUCUGAUACUUUGUUAUGGCAGCCUGAACUGACUAAUGCAUGAUUCCAGUCUGAAAAAGCACUAGUUUUGGAAGACUAAAGUCAAAGAAACCUUGCUUAUUAAUAAUAGACAUUUGACUGCUUUAAAAGUAUGCACUUAAGUAACAAGGUUUUUAUAUAAAUAAAUCGUUGAGGAAAAUCAGGCAUUAUCACAGAAACUUCCAAUUGGAAAAUAUUGUCAAAUACUAGGAUUCCUUGAGUGUACUUCUUUUCCCCUUGCAAUUAAAAAUCAUGAAGUUCUUCUCUUGAUUUCCUCUAUCUCCAACAGAGAAAGGGAAACUGACAAAGUAAGAUACAAAUCAAGUCACCAGAUUACAACACAGAGACGUAUCAUAGGCAAAAGGAAUACAGUUUUCAGGCUCUUUUAAUUGUGUUUGCCAAAUUUAUUCCAACAGCUCUCUCAAUAUUCUAACAUCUAUGUAUCACAGCUGAAGAGUAAGUCUUGACUAAUUUGUCUCAACAGGGAAGAACAGUUAUCUAAUCAUAAUUUAUAGUUUUGUUUACCUUUCUGUUGUCAAAGCUAAUUAUUUGUCUGAGUAAGUGUUUCUGCCCUAUAAAGCCAUUGGUGAGUGAAAAUACCAUUUAAAUUUUAUGUGUGUUUUCAGUUCACAAGCUUUAUACCUCUCAUUAGGGAAUCACAUCCCUUCAGGACUUUUGUGAAAGUCCAUCCCUAAAAGAACUAAAAACUACUUCUUAAAUUUUAAAUCAUGGCCAGCAGAAGCUGCAAUGAGCACCAAAGAAUACCAAAACCCAAGUCACUUGGGUUUUACAAUGACUCAAUGAUAUGGCCAGGACAGCAAGUUGUCAGUCUUGUCAUCUUAAUAGCUCUAUUUGAAAUUAAUCAAGAAAAAAUAUUUCCUUCCUAUUCUUUUACCAGAUGGCUUGUGGACUAUCUUCAGUAAUUAAAAACAGCCCCUGUUGCGUUAUUCCUAGACCACUCCCAUGUGUCAAACCAACUCAAUGUUCACGCCCAGGAACUAAAAAUAAAGGGCCAGGAGAAAUAUGAAAAAAGAAGCAAAUGGCAUGAAAUACCUCAAGUUGUUAUCUUCUGAUUCACUCACCUCCCCAAUUACCCUGUUUAUUCAUUUGGAAUAAAUGUGAUACAGCAGUUUCAGAGCUAACAGCUCCUAUUAAACAAUGACUCAGCUUUGUGAUUCCCCAACUUUCCUACUCUGGGGAGAGCCAGAAGAAAAGGGUUCUCUCUCAAAGAGAAUGGACCUCCGUCAACUACAGUUUCUUGUGCUACAAAUGGUAGCUGUUAACAAUAAUGCCUUUCAUAGAACCCUUGCGAGGAUCAAACUAGACAGCAAUAUGUAUAUAAGUUCCUUGCAAACUAUAAUGGUGCUAUGUUUCAUUGUGUUAUAAAUGUCUUGAGGUUUUUCAGGGAAGGGGGAUGACCGUGGUGUAGUGUUAUUCAACAAAUUCCUUAACGUUCUGAGUUUAGCAGUAAAGAGAACUGGAGAGUUAAUUUUAAUUUGUAUAUAAUGACAAAUGAAAUAGGUAAUAUUUGUAGAUACAGAUGACUUUACCAAUAAUGACAAUGUAGUGCAUAAAGGCACAUUGGGGCUUUAGGGUUACUUUGGCAAUUGCUGAUGCUAUUAUAUAUAUGUAAACUCAAAAGAGAGGCUCCCAUUAAAGAAAAAGAAUUCCCAGCCAAGAGGCUGGCCUGUUGGCGUAGUGGCUAAGUUUGUGCACUUCACUUCAGCGGCCCAGGGUUUUCCAGUU